GGCAUGGAGACCUGAACUUUAGUUUCACUUUGUACUCAAAAUACUAAGAAAACAUCGGGGAGUAUGGGAGCAUGCGGUAAGAAUCCCCUCCUCCAGACCCCUGCCUUUCCUGUCUGGCAUCCAAGCUGCUGCUGGAAUGUGGAAAUCCCAGAAACUGACUUCCAGCAUCACCCUCGGUUGCUGGGAAAGCACGUGCCAAAGUGUAUAAAAGAAAAGGGAGCUGUGCUUCAUUUCAGUCUUCAUUUGAACUAUGGAGCUCACACACAGACUACUAUGCCUUUCCUUGGCCUGCCUGACAUGCAUCUUCCUUGAAGCUGACAUUGGAGAAGCGACAUAUGUACCAACAAGUUGCUUGUGCCCAGUAUCAAACAAACAUGUCAAAUUUUCACUUAUUGAAGACUUCAGCAUUACUGAAAAGGGGCCACACUGCAACACUGACACAAUCAUUGUCAAGUUGAGUCAGGGCAACCUGAAAGUCUGCUUAAAUCCAGAGGGCAAACAGGGCCAGGGUCUCCUUGCCUGCUGGAAGAGGAUUAAUGAAGAUGAAAGCCAGAAGAAGACAUGCCUGAGAAGGAAACAACCUCUGUGAAUGUUAUAAUCACCACGAAAGGCUGCUUCAGCAGCCAAGAAGGCCAGUGCACUGAGGGACCCUGUGGGAUACUGGGUGUCCCUGAAGUCAGGAAAGAAAAGGAUGGAACUGGGAGCAAACAAGGCUGCUGAGAAACGCGAUCUGUCACAGACGCUCAACAGUUUUCAACAUAUUUAUUGUCCUAAAUUAUCACUUUAAAUUGUAACAUAAUUUUUAAAAGAAUUUUUGUAUCAGUAAUAAAUGCUUUUGUAAAUAAAUCCA
rnacentral:lncRNA from 1 species